rnacentral:rRNA from 1 species
UACGUAGGUGGCAAGCGUUGUCCGGAUUUACUGGGCGUAAAGAGCGCGCAGGCGGUCGUUCAAGUCGCGUGUGAAAGCCCCCGGCUCAACUGGGGAGGGUCACGCGAUACUGAUCGACUCGAAGGCAGGAGAGGGUAGUGGAAUUCCCGGUGUAGUGGUGAAAUGCGUAGAUAUCGGGAGGAACACCAGUGGCGAAGGCGACUACCUGGCCUGUUCUUGACGCUGAGGCGCGAAAGCGGUGGGAGCAAACAGGG